CCACCGUCGGAAGCCUUGUAAGUAUUCAAUCCGUCCUUUUCGGGCGGGUAACACUCGUCUGUUGCUGGAAGUGAACCUCCGUUGGAGUUAACCAGCUGCCAUAUGCGCCGUAACGCCUCGCAUGUGGCCCACAGAUCAAACACGAGUGGCCCGUGGCCCCCGUCGAUUCUCUGGAAUCGGGGGCCUACGGGUUGAGAUAUGACCGUAGCAGCCUUGCAAAAGGCCGGAAGACUGGUUCCGUAGGUGAACC
rnacentral:misc_RNA from 1 species